rnacentral:rRNA from 1 species
UAAAGUCUAAUCUGCCCACUGAUAUAAUAUUAAAGGGSUGCAGUAUUUUGAGUGUACAAAGGUAGCAUAAUCAUUAGUCUUUUAAUUGAAGACUUGUAUGAAUGAUUGGAUGAAAUAUAAACUGUCUCUAAUAUUAUUAGUUAGAAUUUAAUUUUUUUAUUAAAAAGUAAAAAUAAAUUUAAAAGACGAGAAGACCCUAUAGAGUUUUAUAAUUAAUUUAAUUGAAAUUAUUUAUAAAGAUAAUUUUAAAUUAAUAAAUUAAAAUUAAGUUAAUUAUUUUGUUGGGGUGAUAAAAAAAUAAAAAUAACUUUUUUUAAUAAAUAUAUAUAUAUAUAUAUAUAUAUAUAUAUAUAUAUAUAUAUUGUAAACAAAAAUAAAUGAUUUUUUGAUCCAGAAUUUUUGAUUAUAAGAAAAAAUUACCUUAGGGAUAACAGCGUAAUUUUUUUUUUUAGUUCAAAUAAGAAAAAGAGUUUGCGACCUCGAUGUUGGAUUAAGGAAAAAUUUAAAUGCAAAAGUUUAAAAUUUUG